ensembl:lncRNA
CAUUCAUACCUACCCGCCACUAGGGGUCACUCGUGUUUACGUGAUGCAUAGUAGAGUGCACACAGAGGAAGAGUGUACUACAUGUGUAGGUUGUGCUUGUUCGUAGCUGUCUGCAGCUGAGCACAUGAGCAGUUGUGCAUAAGAUUAAAAGCAAACAUCAGCUUUUCUUAAGGAAGGGGGGAAAGUCCUGCUUGUGUUUUGCUUACCACCUUGUGCAUCAUGUAUUUGGUGUCUGUCUGCAAGAUAUUUCCGGGUGGAUAUAUACAUAUCUAAUGUGGCGGAGAUUGAGCGUGAGUGUUUAUUAAAAGAGUUUAAUUUAAGUUGCAUGUUCUGUUAUAAUAAUUGGGAAUUUGUGGAAAAUAACAAUCCAUUUUCUCUUUGAAUUAUAUUAGAGGGGAGAACAGAUACACGUGUGUCAGCGCCUCGUUUCAUGUUACAGCGUGUCACAGAGUGAGUUCAUUUAUUUUGUUUCAUAUUAUAAAUAUUAUUGUGCACUCAAAGAAGAGAGAGAAACAUUUUGUAAUGUUUAUAUUAUGUCAGCAAUAAAUAUAAUUUGUUAAUAGGCUAAAUAUGAACAUUUUGAUACCAUGAUUGACACUGUAUAAAUGAUUAAUGAGGUGUAAACUGGAUUCAGUUCAGAUUUAUUAAGUUAAGUGGCUAAUGUUUAUGUACUAUGAAUGUUUCUGUGUUUUGUCUAUAUUACAGAAUAGCAUCCAAAAGCCACUACCGUUGUUUUAUAGGGGUAUAUUUCAUACAGGGCUAUUUUUGUGUGUUUUCAUUUAUUUUCUCUGUUGAUUUGGGAUCUUUAUAAUCUUGAGAAGGAAUGUGAUUUAAGGAGAAACGUGUAUUAACCCUUUCUAAUCAGCCGAAUUUCACCCAAAGGGAGUGUUCAAUAGUUGGGCUACUGUUUUAUUUGUUUUAUUUAUUUUUCUUUAAACUGAAUAGGCCAUUGUAACAAAAUAUUCACAGUGUAUUUGGAGCUUGUGUUAAUUUGAUCUCUUUUUAUAUUUCUUGUAAACUUGGUUUAUUAUAAUAUACUACGCAGGGGGAAAUUUCACAGUCAUUUAAUGCUGUGUUUUCUCUUAACUCAGUCGGAAAUAAAGAACCCCUGUUAGAUGUAUGGCUGUGCUGGAGUCUUUGUCAUAGUGUGAAGGUUUACACGGCCACAUCUUUUGGUGUCAGAAGUGGGAUUAUUAGUUACUUACUGUGGGUUUCCUUUUGUGCAGAGGAUUUGUUUAUUAUUUUUUUUUAAUUCUUAUUACUACAAGUGGGUUAAACAACAGUAAACAACGGUAGUGGUCGAGGCUGGAUGUUUGUCACCGAGAGUCAACAGCGAGCUAUGUGCUGAGCCAGGAAGGACGGCGGAGAGUUCAAGUGUCAACGUUUCAGGAUCAACUUGACUGGGAAGGCUGCAUGGGACUGUGUUAGUGUGUGAUUUUGUAGAGACUGAAGCCAUUGACAUCUGCCGUAUAGAGCCAUGGAAGCUGAAGAUACUGAGCAAGCACAGGCACAGGGAGAGGACAGCCAAGGACUUGGUGCUGCUUCCUGGAGGGGAGAACAGAUACACGUGUGUCAGCGCCUCGUUUCAUGUUACAGCGUGUCACAGAAAUAGCAUCCAAAAGCCACUACCGUUGUUUUAUAGGGGUAUAUUUCAUACAGGGCUAUUUUUGUGUGUUUUCAUUUAUUUUCUCUGUUGAUUUGGGAUCUUUAUAAUCUUGAGAAGGAAUGUGAUUUAAGGAGAAACGUGUAUUAACCCUUUCUAAUCAGCCGAAUUUCACCCAAAGGGAGUGUUCAAUAGUUGGGCUACUGUUUUAUUUGUUUUAUUUAUUUUUCUUUAAACUGAAUAGGCCAUUGUAACAAAAUAUUCACAGUGUAUUUGGAGCUUGUGUUAAUUUGAUCUCUUUUUAUAUUUCUUGUAAACUUGGUUUAUUAAUAUACUACGCAGGGGGAAAUUUCACAGUCAUUUAAUGCUGUGUUUUCUCUUAACUCAGUCGGAAAUAAAGAACCCCUGUUAGAUGUAUGGCUGUGCUGGAGUCUUUGUCAUAGUGUGAAGGUUUACACGGCCACAUAUGAGUACUACUUUUAAUAUAAUAUUCAGUUUUAAUAUACCAUUUGAAAAGAUGUUAAUGGAUGGAUUGGAGUUAAAUUUUAAAUUCC